ensembl:lncRNA
GUGAACACUUCCCUAACUGACCUAAUUCCCCCCCCCUUUACUCUACCUCGGGCACGGAUGAGGCCCGCUAACCAAAAGUACAGGGAGUGGUCCGCCCAGGUCUUGCCUAGUGUAUCUAGACAGGUCGGCCCUAGGUAAAACCACUGGUGCAGCGGCCCCCAAACCCUGUUCAUCACCCAGCAGUGCACCCACAGUCUUUUCAUCCCCAGACUCUUCACCUGAGGCCUCACUGCCCUCGUCCAUCCCCUCACAAACCCCCUGGUGAACCAACCCUUUUUUUAUCAACUCUAACAUCUCUGCCUUGAGGGCCUGCCUUGGGACGGAGAUUUUAUAAUGAUCGGCGACGGCGGAUAACUCUGACCUGCGCAUCCCUCCCAGCUGGUCAAGGGAUGGACCUGCUAGAAAAACAGCCAGUGCUGGAGCAGCCAUUCUAGUAGAUACUCACAAACCCCAACGACGGAAAAUAAACACAGAACCAUGAGAGGACAUCAGCGAGCCACCAGAAGCGCUCUGCCAUCAGAUCUGCAGAACCCCUCUCUUCCCCCCCAAAGAUUUACAAUGACAGGUCUUUAUAGACCUGCACCAGCUGCAUCCAAUAAAGAAGGGGAGGAGUCCAGGUUGGUCGAAUCCAAUCGGCUACACCUUGGGUGAAGGGUAGCCAUCUUCCCUGCAGAUUUCCUGUACAUGGAAAGACAGGACACAAACCAACACAAACACCCCCAAAACGUAACACCGG